UACGAAGGGGGGCUAGCGUUGCUCGGAAUGACUGGGCGUAAAGGGCGCGUAGGCGGCUCAUACAGUCAGAUGUGAAAUUCCUGGGCUUAACCUGGGGGCUGCAUUUGAUACGUGUGGGCUUGAGUGGGGAAGAGGGUCGUGGAAUUCCCCAGUGUAGAGGUGAAAUUCGUAGAUAUUGGGAAGAACACCGGUGGCGAAGGCGGCGACCUGGUCCUUGACUGACGCUGAGGCGCGAAAGCGUGGGGAGCAAACAGG
rnacentral:rRNA from 1 species